CGAAACGGACGCUCAAGCGUCGACCUCAACUUCCUGUGAUCCGAAAGGCUUGCCUCGGCGCCUCUGGCGCCGGAACCAUGCCGAUUUGCCCGUGAGUCUGAGAGAAAACAAGGUUUA
rnacentral:misc_RNA from 1 species